UAAUAACAUCGAAACUCUUAUAUAAAUCACGGAGGAAUAGCUUUUUUCGAUUUAUUCAAAUUAUUUUUGGUAUUCUAUUCGUAUCGCCUUCACACUGGCGAUACCACUGCCUGCUGCUGGAUUGCCAGCCAAAAUAAUGUAGAUAAAUCGAAAAAAAAUAAUCGUUCGCUCUGAGCGAGAUUCGACCCCGGGAGUUUCGGAGUUCGAAUCUAGUGCCGUAUGUACUCCGUUAUCAGCAUAUUGUACUUACAUACUAACAAAAUUUAUAUGUAAAUUGUGAACCAAGAUUUAUAUAGAAGUUUUGUUGUUUCUAAACUAUAAGACAUCUAGUAGCGUAGUGGAUAGCGCAUCAGACUAGGACUCCGAAGGUCCCGGGAUCGAGUCUCCCUCGGAACGGCCGCUUUUUUUCAAUUUGUUAAAAUUAUUUUUGCCGUUCUGUUGCUGGCAAUACAGCAGCACGAUGUGCUGUUCUUUUGCUGGCAAUACAGCAGCACAACGUGCUGUUCUAUUGCCGUUUCGUUGCUGUUACAUUACCCACGCUUAUUCGGUUAAUACAACGGCACAGCGUGCUGUUCUGUUGUCGUUCUGUUGCUAUUACGAAUUGGCACGUCGUGUCGGCGUAUUGUGAUUCUUUUUACGGUAUUAAACGCAAUACCGUGCCGUCAUAAUAAAGCUUUAUGCGGCGGCAAAAGAUACCAUAUUUGUGUUUCAAAAUUCAAUUUCGUGCCGUGUUAUUGCUGUAAUUCUAGCGCAAAAUAUCUAUCUGGGUGGGAACAAGAUGCCGAGGUCGUGAUUUGGUUGGCCACAGACGCGCAGGUAAAUAUAAAGUUGAACGAAGAAAUAUAUUGGCCAAUGAACUAAAACAAUUUGACGAUUGACAAAUUUACUCAAUCGUUAAAGAGUUCUUCGAACACACUUUUUACAAUCAGAGAGUCAUAACUAUUGUGAAAUCCGAUCAACAGAUCGAAAGGGUCGUCGUUCGCAUGUUCGCUUGGCCAUCUUCGAGACCGUCGCGGGUUUACGCAAAAGAACGGCAUCGGAAAAGAAUCGGAAGAUUUUCAAGACUCUCCUCGUCAACGAGGAAUUCUAAAAAUGCCUGUAAAUUUUGUAAGCACUGCCGGAAUCAUUGGUCACUAGAAACAAUGAGAUCCAACGUUUGAUCGACAAAAUACUUGUAAACGCAAUCACAAGCCCAAACGACCGGAAAAUCUGGGAGACUAUGAGCUACGUCUAUCGAAUCAAAGAUACGCACGCUUGGUACAGAGAUGGUUCUCGAGAACGGUAGAGGCUUCAGAAGCGGGGGAGGAGAUUCCUCGAGAGAACGUGAAAUGUCACGGAGACAACAAAAGACAAGAGCGAAAGUCUUCCAAACUCGACCUAAGGAGUUACUAACGAAACAAGGUUUGUGUUACACUCUGUAAUCUAAACGAUAUUCCUAUUGAGUUCCUCGCAACAUUUAAUAUUUUGGAAACUUGGAUGCCUCGGAAGACAUUAAAAAAAAAUAAAAUAAAAUAAAAUAAAAAAGUUGUAACGCUCAUUGUUCUAGUUCAGACGGAAGGAAACUUCCUCAUCUAAAAAAUACGCAGCGUGUUCAAAUUUUUAUAGCACGAAAUUUAUACAUUAUAACAUCACACAGAAAUGUUUACCAGAUUGAUGUUCGGGAUCUUCAGCUUCUGCUAUAACGUCGCUAUAGAACCGGGGCAGUUGUUCUCCUCUGAAACAUCUAAAAUUGAUUGCGUCCUCUUUUUGCACCCAGCCACAAUCAUUCGGGUCGAAAUGACCAACAGGAUCUCUUUCGUAGGCAUUUCCUAGCGGAUUGUACGAUCAGAUUUUUUAUCGAAACGACUACAAAAACGACCGAAAUCGGUUGUUUUCGAUCGUUUUUGUACUUUUUUCGACCGUUUCCUGGUCGUACAAUCCGCUAGGGUUCUGCCAUAUUACUGUAGCACCGGCGGUGAUAUCCUGCCGUGUCACUGAUUUUAGCUGGCAGCACGGUAUCACAAUUUUAACUGGUAUUUUUGGCGGAUUAAUAACGUCUGUGCACAUUUUUCCAACGUUUUAUCAGUAAAUAAAAUUAUAUUACUCAA